rnacentral:rRNA from 1 species
UACGUAGGGUGCGAGCGUUAAUCGGAAUUACUGGGCGUAAAGCGUGCGCAGGCGGUUUGCUAAGACCGAUGUGAAAUCCCCGGGCUUAACCUGGGAACUGCAUUGGUGACUGGCAGGCUAGAGUAUGGCAGAGGGGGGUAGAAUUCCACGUGUAGCAGUGAAAUGCGUAGAGAUGUGGAGGAAUACCGAUGGCGAAGGCAGCCCCCUGGGCCAAUACUGACGCUCAUGCACGAAAGCGUGGGGGAGCAAACAGG